rnacentral:rRNA from 1 species
UUGAACGCUGGCGGCAGGCCUAACACAUGCAAGUCGAGCGCGAAUGGUUUUCGGACUGAGUAAAGCCGCGGACGGGUGAGUAACGCGUGGGAAUCUGCCCAGUAGUGGGGGACAACAGUCGGAAACGACUGCUAAGACCGCAUACGCCCUACGGGGGAACGGGGGGGAUCUUCGGACCUCACGCUAUUGGAAGAGCCCGGGUCGGAUUAGCUAGUUGGUAGGGUAAAGGCCUACCAAGGCUACGAUCCGUAACUGGUCUGAGAGGAUGAUCAGUCACACUGGAACUGAGACACGGUCCAGACUCCUACGGGAGGCAGCAGUGGGGAAUAUUGGACAAUGGGGGCAACCCUGAUCCAGCCAUGCCGCGUGUGUGAAGAAGGCCUUAGGGUUGUAAAGCACUUUCAGUGGGGAGAAAGGUUUGUCACCUAAUACGUGAUGAAAUUGAUGUUACCCACAGAAGAAGCACCGGCUAACUCCGUGCCAGCAGCCGCGGUAA